AUUGAACGCUGGCGGUAUGCUUAACACAUGCAAGUCGAACGGCAGCAUAAUCUUCGGAUUGAUGGCGAGUGGCGGACGGGUGAGUAAUAUAUAGGAAUCUGCCUUGUAGUGGGGGAUAACUAUCCGAAAGGAUAGCUAAUACCGCAUAAUGAUUACGGUUUAAAGCAGGGGAUCUUCGGACCUUGCGCUACAAGUUGAGCCUAUACAAGAUUAGCUAGUUGGUGAGGUAAAGGCUCACCAAGGCGACGAUCUUUAGCUGGUCUGAGAGGAUGAUCAGCCACACUGGGACUGAGACACGGCCCAGACUCUUACGGGAGGCAGCAGUGGGGAAUAUUGGACAAUGGGCGCAAGCCUGAUCCAGCAAUACCGCGUGUGUGAAGAAGGCCUUCGGGUUGUAAAGCACUUUUGUUAGGGAGGAUGGUGAUUCUGGCGAAUACCCAAAGUCAUUGACGUUACCUAAAGAAUAAGCACCGGCUAACUCUGUGCCAGCAGCCGCGGUAA
rnacentral:rRNA from 1 species